AUACAGUCCAUGUGAGGACAACUAAGGCAGCCCAAUCUAUAGCCAGCUGACCUCCAACCUGUGAGGGAGUUCAGCCUAGAUCAGUGGAGCUGCUCACCUGAAUCACCAUUGACCAAAGAUUCAUGACUGAGUCCAGCCCCUUGCAGGAGAAUGAUCUGGAUGUCCGACAGACUGGUUCUAAAGAUUAAGAUGUGGAAAUCUUUGAGGGGCCAUUUUUCUGUCUAACACAAAGGAUAAUAACAUUGGUCAAAUCUGUAAGCAUAACCACAGAAUCACCAAGGAAGCAGUGAAUCACCAAUAAAGACCAUUUCAUUCACCACCUUGGGGCACUAUGUACAAGGAUAUAACAUGAAUGCAGCCCUUUGAAGGGCCAAGGAGUAAUUGAUACACAUUUAUGUUCUCCAUAAAUACUGGAAUUACAAAUGACUGAUGAAGAAGUCUUGCCCAGUGCCAGAAAAUUACGUAAGUCAAAGACAAGAUCUUCCCAUUUCUUGAGAUCGAGCUACUCAGUCAGUGGUUAUGAAACACGGCUGCCUCUGAGAAUCACUCAGGCUGCUUUUUAAUUAGAAGGAAGUCUGGGGCCCAGCCCAGACUCACCUAAUCAUCAGCCUUUCUGGAGGUAGGGUCUAUGAAUCUUAGUCAUUUUAAAUGCUCGUAGAAACCAAAGGAAGUGAAGUAAAUUGGGAUAAAAGAUAUUAAGACACAAUAAAAUGCUUUUUGAAAAACGUUUCUAGAUUUAAAAAAAAAAUAAAAUCACUGAGUUUAAAAUAGCCUAAAGUAAUUUACCAAAACCUCCGUGCUCUUGAGGCAACAAAUACAACAAAGGCAAACACCCUUUAAUCUCCGGGGACUGUGCCAGAGAAAAUUCCCUUCUGAGGUCCAGAACUGUGAGUUUCUGUGAGGUCCAUCCAAGCUUAGGGGUUACUUGCCAUCCAAGCUUGGGGGUUACUUGCCUGGAGGCCCAUUGUCAAAGCAAGUCAGAAAAGGGUUUCUGCUGCUGAUACUCCUGCCAGGCUACUUACUGUCAAAAUCCUGUGCCAAGAAACCAUCUGGGUUCUAGCCCUCUGGUCACCGGCAGGCAUCUACUAUCUGCUUUUGGAUGCCCAGCCCUGUCCUGGGAACAGGGUGGAUGUGCAGAAUUUCUGUUUGUAUCCUGAAUAGAGGAUUCAGGGUACAGGGAAUGAGCUAAGUAUCAUGGCUUCCCAGUCUUUCUAUGACUCAGAAAACUGUGAAUGCUUUUUAUGUAUCUGUAGAGGAAAAAGGUAGUACUUGAAAAGAGAAUACUUACAAAGUCACUUAUAUGCAGUGAAUUAUCUGAUAUGGAGAGGGAAAGGGACAUAUCAUUCAUCAAGUCUUCUGUAACUACCACAUGAGUUAUCUAUUAGCAGAGAAUUAGAAUACAAUGCAAUUAUUUGAUGAGCAUAAUUUAGUCUUUUGAUGAAUCAGAAUGUAUGCAUGCUUCUCAGCCAUCAGUAAGACAGUCAUUAGUGUUACAGCAAUGAAGACCUCACAAGCUUAUUAUUUAACAAAUCAAUCUAAUUAAUCUAUUAGUCUAAUUGAUAGACUGAUAAAGUGUGCUUUAUCAGCAUAUGAUCUACAGUUUGCAUAGUCUCACCAUGUGCUGUUCGAUAUAUUGUACAAAAUAUUUUAGACCAAUGCAUUUACUAAUAAAUUGAAUCAUACCUCCAAUAAGGUGUGAUAGGGUAAGGGCUGAACUUCAAAUGAACUUAGCAAACACUGGGAGGAGAAAGAGAAAGAAGGAUAUUUAGAAAAUCACAGGGCAAUGUCUCUUGAUAUUGAUUUUACUUUCUGUCUCAAACACCAGUCUUCUAAUGUGAAUGACUCACUUGUACUCUGAGCAAACCAGGAAUUUGGGUUGGAUGAUUGGUAGAUUGGACACACCAGGUGAGUGCUCUGACAACAUGCAGAAAGAAAGUGUCCUCAGAUUUUUGGCAAGUUAUUUAUAGUUCCCAUAAAUCUAGAGUUUUGGCUCAUCUUCCUCAAUCUAUCCCAAAGUAAGACAGCCAAAAUCUUACGUGUCAAUAGAGUGGAAAUACACCCUGAGUCAGCUAAUUAUCACAUGUUGCUAUAGCAAGCAGCACACCCAGACUAAAUUUAAGGUCAGAGCUACCCACAUGUUUUUGCCCAAACUGGGAACUAGAAUCUAUUUUUCUCAAAAUGAAAAUACCUUUACUGUUUUUUUAGAUUGCAAAAAUAAUAGCAUGACUUAAAUCCCAAAUGAUAUAUAGACUAUAUGGAAGAAAAAAUCUCCUGAAAUGUCGCCAAGAGAAAAGAGCCAUUAAAAAUUUGAUAAAUAUCUGUCUGGACAGAUAUCUCUGUGUAUAUAAAAUUUUAUAUAAAUGGAAUCAAAUCAUACAGUUUAUUAACUUGCUUUGUUACUUAACAAUUGGUAGUCAUCUUUCUAUGCUAAUAUGUACACAUUUGAACCAUGGUUUUUGAUAACUUCCUAGCAUUUUAUUUUAUGGCUGUAUUAAAAUGUUAUUAACUGUCCCCCAAUUAAUGAAUUUAAAAGUUGAUGAGAUGUGGAAUUUAAGAAAUGAAACAGAUAAACGUAGGAGAAG